UGGAGGAAAGUAGGGGAUCGCAAGACCUUGCGCUAAAGGAGCGGCCGAUGUCUGAUUAGCUAGUUGGUGGGGUAAAGGCUUACCAAGGCAACGAUCAGUAGUUGGUCUGAGAGGACGGCCAACCACACUGGGACUGAGACACGGCCCAGACUCCUACGGGAGGCAGCAGUGGGGAAUUUUGGACAAUGGGCGAAAGCCUGAUCCAGCCAUGCCGCGUGAGUGAAGAAGGCCUUCGGGUUGUAAAGCUCUUUUAGUCGGAAGAAAGAGUUGCAAUGAAUAAUUGUGAUUUAUGACGGUACCGACAGAAAAAGCACCGGCUAACUACGUGCCAGCAGCCGCGGUAAUACGUAGGGUGCGAGCGUUAAUCGGAAUUACUGGGCGUAAAGGGUGCGCAGGCGGUCUUGCAAGUCAGAUGUGA
rnacentral:rRNA from 1 species